rnacentral:tRNA from 1 species
AUUUAAAUAGUUUAAAAAAAACAUUGAUUUGUGAUAUCAAAAUUAUAAAAUUUAUUUUAAAUU